rnacentral:rRNA from 1 species
GCGUGAGUGAUGAAGGCCUUAGGGUUGUAAAGCUCUUUCAAUAGGGAAGAUGAUGACGGUACCUAUAGAAGAAGCCCCGGCUAACUUCGUGCCAGCAGCCGCGGUAAUACGAAGGGGGCAAGCGUUGUUCGGAAUCACUGGGCGUAAAGCGUACGCAGGCGGACUAUCAAGUCAGAGGUGAAAUCCCAGGGCUCAACCUUGGAACUGCCUUUGAAACUGCUAGUCUAGAGACCGAGAGAGGAUAGUGGAAUUCCUAGUGUAGAGGUGAAAUUCGU